rnacentral:lncRNA from 1 species
AUGACUUGUUUGAGCUCAAAGUUUACAAUUGCUGGCUGGAACUGGGGUUGAUGGAAAAGCUGGAACAAGACUUUAUUGGAUUUUUUGGUUAGGUUCUUAUUUUGGCAAGGACAAAUCAUUGGAGUUCAUGCAACUCUGGAUCGGUUCAAGGUUGAUAGAAUAUACCUAAUGAGAAAGUUAGUAUUGUAGUAACGGCACUUUCUAAUUUCAUUGUGCAGUUGGUUCUCUUUAGAACGGAUCUUAGUCUGUAUACAUAUUGGAUUAGUGUAUUUUGGUGAAUAAUAUAUUCUUUUUAGCGCUUUUAAG